GAUGAACGCUGGCGGCGUGCCUAAUACAUGCAAGUCGAGCGAACAGACGAGGAGCUUGCUCCUCUGACGUUAGCGGCGGACGGGUGAGUAACACGUGGAUAACCUACCUAUAAGACUGGGAUAACUUCGUGAAACCGGAGCUAAUACCGGAUAAUAUAUUGAACCGCAUGGUUCAAUAGUGAAAGACGGUUUUGCUGUCACUUAUAGAUGGAUCCGCGCCGCAUUAGCUAGUUGGUAAGGUAACGGCUUACCAAGGCAACGAUGCGUAGCCGACCUGAGAGGGUGAUCGGCCACACUGGAACUGAGACACGGUCCAGACUCCUACGGGAGGCAGCAGUAGGGAAUCUUCCGCAAUGGGCGAAAGCUUGACGGAGCAAAGCCGCGUGAGUGAUGAAGGUCUUCGGAUCGUAAAACUCUGUUAUUAGGGAAGAACAAAUGUGUAAGUAACUAUGCACGUCUUGACGGUACCUAAUCAGAAAGCCACGGCUAACUACGUG
rnacentral:rRNA from 1 species